rnacentral:rRNA from 1 species
GACGAACGCUGGCGGCGUGCUUAACACAUGCAAGUCGAACGGAAAGGCCCUGCUUUUGUGGGGUGCUCGAGUGGCGAACGGGUGAGUAACACGUGAGUAACCUGCCCUUGACUUUGGGAUAACUUCAGGAAACUGGGGCUAAUACCGGAUAGGAGCUCCUGCUGCAUGGUGGGGGUUGGAAAGUUUCGGCGGUUGGGGAUGGACUCGCGGCUUAUCAGCUUGUUGGUGGGGUAGUGGCUUACCAAGGCUUUGACGGGUAGCCGGCCUGAGAGGGUGACCGGCCACAUUGGGACUGAGACACGGCCCAGACUCCUACGGGAGGCAGCAGUGGGGAUUAUUGCACAAUGGGCGGAAGCCUGAUGCAGCAACGCCGCGUGCGGGAUGACGGCCUUCGGGUUGUAAACCGCUUUCGCCUGUGACGAAGCGUGAGUGACGGUAAUGGGUAAAGAAGCACCGGCUAACUACGUG